GAUGAACGCUGGCGGCGUGCCUAAUACAUGCAAGCCGAGCGAACGGACGAGAAGCUUGCUUCUCUGAUGUUAGCGGCGGACGGGUGGGUAACACGUGGAUAACCUACCUAUAAGACUGGGAUAACUUCGGGAAACCGGAGCUAAUACCGGAUAAUAUUUUGAACCGCAUGGUUCAAAAGUGAAAGACGGUCUUGCUGUCACUUAUAGAUGGAUCCGCGCUGCAUUAGCUAGUUGGUAAGGUAACGGCUUACCAAGGCAACGAUGCAUAGCCGACCUGAGAGGGUGAUCUGCCACACUGGAACUGAGACACGGUCCAGACUCCUACGGGAGGCAGCAGUAGGGAAUCUUCCGCAAUGGGCGAAAGCCUGACGGAGCAACGCCGCGUGAGUGAUGAAGGUCUUCGGAUCGUAAAACUCUGUUAUUAGGGAAGAACAUAUGUGUAAGUAACUGUGCACAUCUUGACGGUACCUAAUCAGAAAGCCACGGCUAACUACGUG
rnacentral:rRNA from 1 species